rnacentral:rRNA from 1 species
GACGAACGCUGGCGGCGCGCUUAACACAUGCAAGUCGAACGGAAAGGCCUGCUUUCCCUUGUGGAUUGCGGGUACUCGAGUGGCGAACGGGUGAGUAACACGUGAGUGAUCUGCCCCCAACUUGGGUAUAAGCCUGGGAAACUGGGUCUAAUUCCCGAUAGGACUGCAGGGUGGUGCCUGUGGUGGAAAACGAUUUUCUAGUGGUUGGGGAUGAGCUCGCGGCCUAUCAGCUUGUUGGUGGGGUAAUGGCCUACCAAGGCGGCGACGGGUAGCCGGCCUGAGAGGGUGGACUGCAUCAUUGGGACGGCGACACCGCCCAGAGUCCUGCGGGAUGGAGCAGUGGGGAAGAGAGGACAAUUGGGCGGAGCCGGAUGCAGCGGCGCGGCGAGGGGGAUGACGGCGUUCGGGGUGUAGACUCCUUUCGACCGCGAGGAAGCCACCUGGUUGGAAGGGUGGUGACGGUAGUGGUAGAAGAAGCACCGGCUAACUACGUG